AGUUUGAUCAUGGCUCAGGAUGAACGCUGGCGGCGUGCUUAACACAUGCAAGUCGAACGAUGAAGCCCAGCUUGCUGGGUGGAUUAGUGGCGAACGGGUGAGUAACACGUGAGUAACCUGCCCUUGACUCUGGGAUAAGCCUGGGAAACUGGGUCUAAUACCGGAUAGGAACGUCCACCGCAUGGUGGGUGUUGGAAAGAUUUAUCGGUCAUGGAUGGACUCGCGGCCUAUCAGCUUGUUGGUGAGGUAAUGGCUCACCAAGGCGACGACGGGUAGCCGGCCUGAGAGGGUGACCGGCCACACUGGGACUGAGACACGGCCCAGACUCCUACGGGAGGCAGCAGUGGGGAAUAUUGCACAAUGGGCGAAAGCCUGAUGCAGCGACGCCGCGUGAGGGAUGACGGCCUUCGGGUUGUAAACCUCUUUCAGUAGGGAAGAAGCGAAAGUGACGGUACCUGCAGAAGAAGCACCGGCUAACUACGUGCCAGCAGCCGCGGUAAUACGUAGGGUGCGAGCGUUAUCCGGAAUUAUUGGGCGUAAAGAGCUCGUAGGCGGUUUGUCGCGUCUGUCGUGAAAGUCCGGGGCUUAACCCCGGAUCUGCGGUGGGUACGGGCAGACUAGAGUGCAGUAGGGGAGACUGGAAUUCCUGGUGUAGCGGUGGAAUGCGCAGAUAUCAGGAGGAACACCGAUGGCGAAGGCAGGUCUCUGGGCUGUAACUGACGCUGAGGAGCGAAAGCAUGGGGAGCGAACAGGAUUAGAUACCCUGGUAGUCCAUGCCGUAAACGUUGGGCACUAGGUGUGGGGACCAUUCCACGGUUUCCGCGCCGCAGCUAACGCAUUAAGUGCCCCGCCUGGGGAGUACGGCCGCAAGGCUAAAACUCAAAGGAAUUGACGGGGGCCCGCACAAGCGGCGGAGCAUGCGGAUUAAUUCGAUGCAACGCGAAGAACCUUACCAAGGCUUGACAUGUUCUCGAUCGCCGUAGAGAUACGGUUUCCCCUUUGGGGCGGGAUCACAGGUGGUGCAUGGUUGUCGUCAGCUCGUGUCGUGAGAUGUUGGGUUAAGUCCCGCAACGAGCGCAACCCUCGUUCCAUGUUGCCAGCACGUAAUGGUGGGGACUCAUGGGAGACUGCCGGGGUCAACUCGGAGGAAGGUGGGGACGACGUCAAAUCAUCAUGCCCCUUAUGUCUUGGGCUUCCGCAUGCUACAAUGGCCGGUACAGUGGGUUGCGAUACUGUGAGGUGGAGCUAAU
rnacentral:rRNA from 1 species